CCAGAAUAGGCUGCCACAGUCAUACAUGUUUGCAAUACCAUGCCUACGGGAACAAUGAAUGAUGCAAUUCUGGCCAUGUAAAAGAGAAAUCAACACAAGCCAUUUGCUACCGAUCGACAUUUUAUAAAUAGAAGAAAAUGUGUCAACGACUGUGAAAGAUUUGUUUGGAGAGUCUGAUCAUGGCUCAUCUGGAGGGGAGGAGAGUGGUAAAUUACCUGAACAACAAGCUGUCAAUGCCACACAGGCAAGAAAUACUUAUUCUGUUUGUAAGUAGUGAUAUGUUGAUGUGUGCCUUCUUUCCAAACAUAAGUUUUUAAUGGGGCAGAGGAUAGAUAUGCAUAUGCAUGUGCAUUGAAUUUCUUAAAUACACAAUCGAGCACAAAGCACGCAUAACUGCAACAGUGGUUACAAGAGUUGAUUUGUGCUUCCAUAGCUAACCUCCCUGCACUUAGCU